rnacentral:rRNA from 1 species
CCUACGGGAGGCAGCAGUGGGGAAUAUUGGACAAUGGACCGAGAGUCUGAUCCAGCAAUUCUGUGUGCACGAUGAAGUUUUUCGGAAUGUAAAGUGCUUUCAGUUGGGAAGAAAAAAAUGACGGUACCAACAGAAGAAGUGACGGCUAAAUACGUGCCAGCAGCCGCGGUAAUACGUAUGUCACAAGCGUUAUCCGGAUUUAUUGGGCGUAAAGCGCGUCUAGGCGGCUAUGUAAGUCUGAUGUGAAAAUGCGGGGCUCAACUCCGUAUUGCGUUGGAAACUGUGUAGCUAGAGUAUCGGAGAGGUAAGCGGAACUACAAGUGUAGAGGUGAAAUUCGUAGAUAUUUGUAGGAAUGCCGAUGGGGAAGCCAGCUUACUGGACGAAUACUGACGCUAAAGCGCGAAAGCGUGGGUAGCAAACAGGAUUAGAUACCCUGGUAGUC